rnacentral:rRNA from 1 species
UACGUAGGUGGCAAGCGUUGUCCGGAUUUACUGGGCGUAAAGAGCGCGCAGGCGGUCGUUCAAGUCGCGUGUGAAAGCCCCCGGCUCAACUGGGGAGGGUCACGCGAUACUGAUCGACUCGAAGGCAGGAGAGGGAAGUGGAAUUCCCGGUGUAGUGGUGAAAUGCGUAGAUAUCGGAAGGAACACCAGUGGCGAAAGCGGCUUCCUGGUCCAGCACCGACGUUCAGGCACGAAAGCGUGGGGAGCAAACAGG